CCUACGGGCGGCAGCAGUGAGGAAUAUUGGUCAAUGGACGAGAGUCUGAACCAGCCAAGUAGCGUGAAGGAUGACUGCCCUAUGGGUUGUAAACUUCUUUUAUAAGGGAAUAAAACGAGGCACGUGUGCCUUUUUGCAUGUACUUUAUGAAUAAGGAUCGGCUAACUCCGUGCCAGCAGCCGAGUUAAUACGGAGGAUGCGAGCGUUAUCCGGAUUUAUUGGGUUUAAAGGGUGCGUAGGCGGGCUGUUAAGUCAGCGGUAAAAGCCCGGGGCUCAACCCCGGCGAGCCGUUGAAACUGGGUGUGUUGAGAUGUCGAGAGGUAUGCGGAAAGCGCAGGGUAGCGGUGAAAUGCUUAGAUAUUGCGCAGAACUCCGAUUGCGAAGGCAGCAUACCGGCGGCGAUCUGACGCUGAGGCACGAAAGCGUGGGUAUCGAACAGGAUUAGAUACCCGAGUAGUC
rnacentral:rRNA from 1 species